rnacentral:rRNA from 1 species
GACGAACGCUGGCGGCGUGCCUAAUACAUGCAAGUCGAACGCAGUGGGGACGGGUGAGUAACACGUGGGUAACCUCCCAUCAGAGGGGAUAACACUUGGACACAGGUGCUAAACCUAUACUGAUGGAUGGACCCGCGGUGCAUUAGCUAGUUGGUGAGGUAACGGCUCACCAAGGCCACGAUGCAUAGCCGAGCUGAGAGGGUGAUCGGCGACGCGGGGACUGAUACACGGCCCAGACUCCGACGAGAGGCAGCAGUAGGGAAUCUUCGGCAAUGGACGAAAGUCUGACCGAGAAACGCCGCGUGAGUGAAGAAGGUUUUCGGAUCGUAAAACUCUGUUGUUAGAGAAGCGGUAUCUAACCAGAAAGCCACGGCUAACGACGUGCCAGCAGCCGCGGUAAUAC